AGUCGAGCGGUAGCACAGAGAGCUUGCUCUCGGGUGACGAGCGGCGGACGGGUGAGUAAUGUCUGGGAAACUGCCUGAUGGAGGGGGAUAACUACUGGAAACGGUAGCUAAUACCGCAUAAUGUCGCAAGACCAAAGUGGGGGACCUUCGGGCCUCAUGCCAUCAGAUGUGCCCAGAUGGGAUUAGCUAGUAGGUGGGGUAACGGCUCACCUAGGCGACGAUCCCUAGCUGGUCUGAGAGGAUGACCAGCCACACUGGAACUGAGACACGGUCCAGACUCCUACGGGAGGCAGCAGUGGGGAAUAUUGCACAAUGGGCGCAAGCCUGAUGCAGCCAUGCCGCGUGUGUGAAGAAGGCCUUCGGGUUGUAAAGCACUUUCAGCGGGGAGGAAGGCGUUAAGGUUAAUAACCUUGUCGAUUGACGUUACCCGCAGAAGAAGCACCGGCUAACUCCGUGCCAGCAGCCGCGGUAAUACGGAGGGUGCAAGCGUUAAUCGGAAUUACUGGGCGUAAAGCGCACGCAGGCGGUCUGUCAAGUCGGAUGUGAAAUCCCCGGGCUCAACCUGGGAACUGCAUUCGAAACUGGCAGGCUAGAGUCUUGUAGAGGGGGGUAGAAUUCCAGGUGUAGCGGUGAAAUGCGUAGAGAUCUGGAGGAAUACCGGUGGCGAAGGCGGCCCCCUGGACAAAGACUGACGCUC
rnacentral:rRNA from 1 species